AUGGCGCUCCAUCUCGCGCGACCGUUCCUCCCCGCCGGCCUCCCGCCGCCGCCGCGCCGCCGCGCUCGUGCCCGACCACGUUCCCUCUCCCCCACCGCCGACGCGCGGUCCCCGUGCUUCAAGAGACCCUACACGUCCGUCCUGGUGGUCCCCACGGGGGUCGGCGCAGCCGUCGGGGGCUUCGCCGGCGACGCCCUCCCCGUGGCGCGCGCCCUCGCCGCCGUCGCCGAAUGCGUCAUCUCCCACCCCAACGUGCUCAACGCCGCGAUGCUCUACUGGCCGAUGCCCAAUACGCUCUACGUGGAGGGAUACGCCCUCGACAGGUUCGCGGAAGGCGCCUGGGCUCUCCAGCCGGUCCACCAGAACAAGGUAGGCUUGGUGCUGGACUCCGGGAUCGAGGAGGAGCUCCGGCUCCGGCAUUUGCAGGUCGCCGAUGCGGCGAGGGCUUCGCUCGGCCUCCCUGUUGUCGAGUGCACCGUCACCGAUGCUCCUUUGGAGAUCAAGACGUGGUUCGAUCCGAAGUGCGGGAAAUCAACCGGGAGCGUUGGGAACUCCGGUUCCCUGUUAAGAGCGGUCGACGCACUAGUGAACCAUGCAGGCGUGAAUGCUGUGGCUGUUGUUGCGCGCUUUCCUGACGACGAUCCUGAAGAUUCAGAUUGCUAUAGGGAAGGAAAGGGAGUUGAUCUGUUAGCCGGAGUUGAAGCAAUCAUCAGUCAUCUAAUUGUGAAAGAAUUCCAAAUUCCUGCUGCUCACGCUCCUGCGGUGCUGCCCCCACCACUCAGCCCAUCAGUGUCCCCAAGAUCUGCUGCUGAAGAGAUUGGUUAUACCUUUCUACCAUGUGUGCUCGCUGGUUUAAGCACUGCUCCUCAGUAUGUGACGAGGAGGCAGGAAACCUUGGACAGUGGUUGUAUAGUGGCUAGCGAUGUUGAUAGUGUGAUUCUUCCGAGAGAUGCCUGUGGAGGUGAUGGUGCUCUUGCCUUUUCUCGAACUGCAAGAAAGAACAAGCCCUUAAUCAUUACCAUUCAGGAAAAUGAGACGGUGCUCGAUGACACCCCUGAUAAAUUCAACAUUGAAGCGCUGAAUGUCCAGAACUACUGGGAAGCAAUUGGAGUUAUUGCUGCUCACAAGGCAGGCAUCAAUCCAAAUGCUCUUAGAAAACAAGGAAUUGACCAUCUUAAGAGCCAUCGACGAUUGUACUCUGCCCGAUCUUCUGGUCCUAGGCCAUACACCUCUUCUGGAAUGCAGGAUAAAGUAUAUGUACACCAGUUAGUUUGA
rnacentral:rRNA from 1 species